rnacentral:rRNA from 1 species
AAAUUGAAGAGUUUGAUCAUGGCUCAGAUUGAACGCUGGCGGCAGGCCUAACACAUGCAAGUCGAGCGGAAACGAGUUAUCAGAACCUUCGGGGGACGAUAAUGGCGUCGAGCGGCGGACGGGUGAGUAAUGCCUAGGAAAUUGCCCUGAUGUGGGGGAUAACCAUUGGAAACGAUGGCUAAUACCGCAUGAUGCCUACGGGCCAAAGAGGGGGACCUUCGGGCCUCUCGCGU